rnacentral:rRNA from 1 species
GACGAACGCUGGCGGCGUGCCUAAUACAUGCAAGUCGAACGCUUUUUCUUUCACCGGAGCUUGCUCCAUCGAAAGAAAAAGAGUGGCGAACGGGUGAGUAACACGUGGGUAACCUGCCCAUCAGAAGGGGAUAACACUUGGAAACAGGUGCUAAUACCGUAUAACACUAUUUUCCGCAUGGAAGAAAGGUGAAAGGCGCUUUUGCGUCACUGAUGGAUGGACCAGCGGUGCAUUAGCUAGUUGGUGAGGUAACGGCUCACCAAGGCAACGAUGCAUAGCCGACCUGAGAGGGUGAUCGGCCACACUGGGACUGAGACACGGCCCAGACUCCUACGGGAGGCAGCAGUAGGGAAUCUUCGGCAAUGGACGAAAGUCUGACCGAGCAACGCCGCGUGAGUGAAGAAGGUUUUCGGAUCGUAAAACUCUGUUGUUAGAGAAGAACAAGGAUGAGAGUAGAACGUUCAUCCCUUGACGGUAUCUAACCAGAAAGCCACGGCUAACUACGUGCCAGCCGCCGCCGUAA